rnacentral:rRNA from 1 species
AUGAGUUAUGUCAUGUUAUCGAUAUGUGAAUACAUAGCAUAUCAGAAGGCACACCCGGAGAACUGAAACAUCUUAGUACCCGGAGGAAGAAAAAGAAAAUUCGAUUCCCUUAGUAGCGGCGAGCGAAACGGGAAGAGCCCAAACCAACAAGCUUGCUUGUUGGGGUUGUAGGACACUCUAUACGGAGUUACAAAGGACGACAUUAGACGAAUCAUCUGGAAAGAUGAAUCAAAGAAGGUAAUAAUCCUGUAGUCGAAAAUGUUGUCUCUCUUGAGUGGAUCCUGAGUACGACGGAACACGUGAAAUUCCGUCGGAAUCUGGGAGGACCAUCUCCUAAGGCUAAAUACUCUCUAGUGACCGAUAGUGAACCAGUACCGUGAGGGAAAGGUGAAAAGCACCCCGGAAGGGGAGUGAAAUAGAACCUGAAACCGUGUGCUUACAAGUAGUCAGAGCCCGUUAAUGGGUGAUGGCGUGCCUUUUGUAGAAUGAACCGGCGAGUUACGAUUUGAUGCAAGGUUAAGCAGUAAAUGUGGAGCCGUAGCGAAAGCGAGUCUGAAUAGGGCGUUUAGUAUUUGGUCGUAGACCCGAAACCAGGUGAUCUACCCUUGGUCAGGUUGAAGUUCAGGUAACACUGAAUGGAGGACCGAACCGACUUACGUUGAAAAGUGAGCGGAUGAACUGAGGGUAGCGGAGAAAUUCCAAUCGAACCUGGAGAUAGCUGGUUCUCUCCGAAAUAGCUUUAGGGCUAGCCUCAAGUGAUGAUUAUUGGAGGUAGAGCACUGUUUGGACGAGGGGCCCCUCUCGGGUUACCGAAUUCAGACAAACUCCGAAUGCCAAUUAAUUUAACUUGGGAGUCAGAACAUGGGUGAUAAGGUCCGUGUUCGAAAGGGAAACAGCCCAGACCACCAGCUAAGGUCCCAAAAUAUAUGUUAAGUGGAAAAGGAUGUGGCGUUGCCCAGACAACUAGGAUGUUGGCUUAGAAGCAGCCAUCAUUUAAAGAGUGCGUAAUAGCUCACUAGUCGAGUGACACUGCGCCGAAAAUGUACCGGGGCUAAACAUAUUACCGAAGCUGUGGAUUGUCCUUUGGACAAUGGUAGGAGAGCGUUCUAAGGGCGUUGAAGCAUGAUCGUAAGGACAUGUGGAGCGCUUAGAAGUGAGAAUGCCGGUGUGAGUAGCGAAAGACGGGUGAGAAUCCCGUCCACCGAUUGACUAAGGUUUCCAGAGGAAGGCUCGUCCGCUCUGGGUUAGUCGGGUCCUAAGCUGAGGCCGACAGGCGUAGGCGAUGGAUAACAGGUUGAUAUUCCUGUACCACCUAUAAUCGUUUUA